rnacentral:rRNA from 1 species
AGGGGCAGCAUGAACUUAGCUUGCUAAGUUUGAUGGCGACCGGCGCACGGGUGAGUAACACGUAUCCAACCUGCCGAUGACUCGGGGAUAGCCUUUCGAAAGAAAGAUUAAUACCCGAUGGCAUAGUUCUUCCGCAUGGUAGAAUUAUUAAAGAAUUUCGGUCAUCGAUGGGGAUGCGUUCCAUUAGGUUGUUGGCGGGGUAACGGCCCACCAAGCCUUCAAUGGAUAGGGGUUCUGAGAGGAAGGUCCCCCACAUUGGAACUGAGACACGGUCCAAACUCCUACGGGAGGCAGCAGUGAGGAAUAUUGGUCAAUGGACGAGAGUAUGAACCAGCCAAGUAGCGUGAAGGAUGACUGCCCUAUGGGUUGUAAACUUCUCUUAUACGGGAAUAAAGUGAGGCACGUGUGCCUUUUUGUAUGUACCGUAUGAAUAAGGAUCGGCUAACUCCGUGCCAGCAGCCGCGGUAAUACGGAGGAUCCGAGCGUUAUCCGGAUUUAUUGGGUUUAAAGGGAGCGUAGGCGGACGCUUAAGUCAGUUGUGAAAGUUUGCGGCUCAACCGUAAAAUUGCAGUUGAUACUGGGUGUCUUGAGUACAGUAGAGGCAGGCGGAAUUCGUGGUGUAGCGGUGAAAUGCUUAGAUAUCACGAAGAACUCCGAUUGCGAAGGCAGCCUGCUGGACUGUAACUGACGCUGAUGCUCGAAAGUGUGGGUAUCAAACAGGAUUAGAUACCCUGGUAGUCCACACAGUAAACGAUGAAUACUCGCUGUUUGCGAUAUACAGUAAGCGGCCAAGCGAAAGCGUUAAGUAUUCCACCUGGGGAGUACGCCGGCAACGGUGAAACU